rfam:Rattus norvegicus chromosome 11, whole genome shotgun sequence.
CUGUGUCUUGCUUCAACAGUGUUUGAAUCGAACAG